UCCUCGGUCUCUGUUUUCCUUCCCAUGGAGCACUAGCCGCCCAGCCUCUAUCUUCCUCAAUCUCCAGCCGCCCUCCUCACCUCCCCAGAUGUGAGCUCGCCCCUGCGCUCCAGCUCGCCAUCGCCCCUCCCUGUUCCUCGUCGGGCUGUGCGUCCUCGACUUCGACCUCGCCUCCAGCCGUGCACACACUAGAACCGUGCGCCCUGCUCCAAGUCUCCUCGUCGGUGAAGCAUCGCCAGCACAACAUCUUCUAGCUCGAACCGCUCCACUGAUUUACCCCGCCUUCGUCUUCCAGUUUCGGCUCGUGUGCUCACACCAGACACGUUCGCCGUGCAGGUACGCUAGCUGAAAAUCGUGCGAAGCGAGGGGUGUGGAUCAAAACAACCCACAAGACGAUGUCGGCCGAUGAUCCUGAAGCUAGAUGGACUAAGCGGGUGUCAGAAUAAAAGUUGAUCGUCAAGUGGCCAUCAUCUAACAACACUAACAUAGUGUUAUCUCAGGUUGUAAUUUUGUUAUGUUGUGGAUGGUGCUAAGUGCCGGUGGGCUCGGCCUUCUUAUAUAAGUAUAUCCCUCCUAUAGUUUCUUUAAUGAGGAUUGUCACUUAAGCUAGCAUGUAUUUCAAAUUUACAAAUAUUCUAUAACAUUUUAAAGUGUAAUUCUUUUGAAACACUUUCUUUUGUAAUCACUCCGAUGAGGUAUAAUAAAAUCUUGAUAAACUUGUAAUCAUUUUGCAAUAAAGAGUUUAUUUCCGCU
rnacentral:lncRNA from 7 species